ACGCUAGCUACAGGCUUAACACAUGCAAGUCGAGGGGAAACGGCAUUGAGUGCUUGCACUCUUUGGACGUCGACAGGCGCACGGGUGAGUAACGCGUAUCCAACCUUCCCAUUACUGUGGGAUAACCUGCCGAAAGGCAGACUAAUACCGCAUAGUCUUCGAUGACGGCAUCAGAUUUGAAGUAAAGAUUUAUCGGUAAUGGAUGGGGAUGCGUCUGAUUAGCUUGUUGGCGGGGUAACGGCCCACCAAGGCGACGAUCAGUAGGGGUUCUGAGAGGAAGGUCCCCCACAUUGGAACUGAGACACGGUCCAAACUCCUACGGGAGGCAGCAGUGAGGAAUAUUGGUCAAUGGACGGAAGUCUGAACCAGCCAAGUAGCGUGCAGGAUGACGGCCCUAUGGGUUGUAAACUGCUUUUGUAUGGGGAUAAAGUUAGGGACGUGUCCCUAUUUGCAGGUACCAUACGAAUAAGGACCGGCUAAUUCCGUGCCAGCAGCCGCGGUAAUACGGAAGGUCCAGGCGUUAUCCGGAUUUAUUGGGUUUAAAGGGAGCGUAGGCUGGAGAUUAAGUGUGUUGUGAAAUGUAGACGCUCAACGUCUGAAUUGCAGCGCAUACUGGUUUCCUUGAGUACGCACAACGUUGGCGGAAUUCGUCGUGUAGCGGUGAAAUGCUUAGAUAUGACGAAGAACUCCGAUUGCGAAGGCAGCUGACGGGAGCGCAACUGACGCUUAAGCUCGAAGGUGCGGGUAUCAAACAGGAUUAGAUACCCUGGUAGUCCGCACAGUAAACGAUGGAUGCCCGCUGUUGGUACCUGGUAUCAGCGGCUAAGCGAAAGCAUUAAGCAUCCCACCUGGGGAGUACGCCGGCAACGGUGAAACUCAAAGGAAUUGACGGGGGCCCGCACAAGCGGAG
rnacentral:rRNA from 1 species